GUGCCUCACUUUUGUAAUCUUAUUCAAAGGACUUUAAGUGUGGAUGUUGUCUAUCCUCUUUGCAAGGAGGCUUCAGAGGACUCUGACCAUUUGAUGUGAUCUUGUGGAAAAUUACAGAACUGUUAGGAUUCAUUCGAGGCUACAGUCAAGAGAUAAGUUCAAGCCAUGAUAAACUCUAGGUUUUUCCUAGAUCGCUGUCGAAUGAGCUAUGGAGUCCCCAGACAUCAGUAUUAUUAAGCUAAAUUUUGACACGUCCUUUCAAAGUGACUCUAGAACCUCUAAUGCAACAGUAUUAGCUAGAAAUUCUGAAGAUGAAAUUAUAAGGGCAUGUACUUAUCUUUUUGAAGAUGUUGUCGACGGUUUUGUGGCUAAAGCAAGGGCAUGCGAAAGGGCUAUGAUUUUUGUGUCUAAAAUGGGUUUUUGGUGUCUUCUCUUGGAAGGGGACUCUCUAUCGGUAAUAAAAAAACUCAAGAUAAAAGGGGAAGAUAAAUCAAUUCUCAGAUUGAUUACACACCAUAUUCGUACCCUUGAAAAUAACUUUGAAGAAGUCUCUUACCUAUUUGUUUCUUGAACAGUUAAUAGAGCGGCUCACACCUUGGCUUUGGAAGGAAGGAGACGACAAAUCCUUUGCGUCUAGGUAUAUGGAGCUCUAGAAUCGAUGAGGGCGAUGGCGGAUAAGGAUUGGAUGGCUUGGAUCUAGAAUCGCCAAGCUUAUUUUUAAAACCGCUUUGAAUAUGGAGAAGGUUCAAAGAAUCUCCAUUGAUGGGUUCAAAGCUUUUUAAUUUUCUUCAGUUUGCUCAUCUCAGUCACGUUUUUUACAAGAAGAGAAGAUAGGUGUUGGAUGAUAUUUUUGUUUUUGAGUCGUUUUGUUUUGGCAUGGGUUGGUUUUAUCUUUUGCAUUUAUCGGUUUUUUUGUUUUCUAUGUGCGGUUUUAUGGCUUGGCUGUUGGAUUGUUGCGUUUUGUCUUUUCAUUUUUCCCUAUUUGUUGAGACUUUGUUUACACCACCUUGAGCCGUGUGCCUUUUAAUGGAUAUCAGUCACUUUUUGCAAAAAAAAAAGAAAAGAAAAGAAAAUAAUUUAUUCUUUUUUAAA